UUCUGAUUAUCAAAGCUAAAAAUGUUCCUUUGAUCAACAAGAGGCAUUGGUAACCCAGGCUUUGCAGCUGACCUUGCAAGUCCUGCUGCUUGAAGUGUGGCGAGACUUUGAGCUGGAAUUUGACCAGUGGCAGCAAGAGUUUGAAAGUCAAGCCCACUAAGCGAAGACAGGGAACCAUAAGGUGGUUCUUGGGAAUGGGAGCUGAUAAAUGAAUUGCCCUGGUGUGGUGACACUCCACUUAGUCUUCUAAGAUACAGACGAUAUUUCUGCACCACACGGUUGAAUAGUUAGACUAACCGAAGAAAAAGGAUAAUUCAGGAACAUAACCAUUCUAUUGUGCAUGCAACUUAAUAAAGAAAUAAAAGUUUCAAAUUUCUAUAUCCUGCAGAAUUUUCUAAGUUCAAGAGUUUUAUACAGUACCUGAAGGUGGCUGGCAACAUUUUCUCUAGUAAGUCCAGGAACAUUCAUCAACUCCAGAAUUUUCUUAGGAACAGCCUCUGUAGUAUACAUCAAUGCAAAAGCAUAAGUAUGAAAUACUGCAACAGGAAUUGGAAAUGUAAAAGUGAUAUAUUGGGAGCUGCCAUACACAAAACUAUAUUCUGAUAAUAAAUGAAAAAGAAGGACAACUUCAAAGUCCAAUAUAAAUAUAUUUAAUGUGGUUCUCAGUCCAAAUUAAGAUAGAAAAGACAAGAAUACAGAAUAUGGUGUACUUUUCUCAUCCCCUGUCUGAAUGGGAGUGCUAGGUAUUUAGGUAUGUAAUCAUAAGAAGCUAACAAGCAUCUGCAAAUAGAAAGAUAAGGUCCAAAGAAUCUUACUGUCAAUGCCUAGCUGGUUAACGGCAGACACAAACUGUUGAUGGAGCUCAACUGACCAAACUACACGCGGUUUCUUUAAAGUGGAUGUAUCAUCCCUCUCUUCCAUUUCUUCUUCCUCAUCUUUCCUCCUCUUUGAAGUUCUCCAAUUUCCUUCAUUUGCUGAGGAAGAAUAAUCCGCUUCUUCAGAUGGUUUUGGUUGCCGAUCUCCCUCUUCCACACUUCCUGACUGCUCCAAGUCCUUCCACUCGUUCUUCCUCUUCCGAACCACAUGCUGCCAUAUGUUCUUCAGUGCCUCAAUUCGAACUGGCUUAAUUAAAUAAUCACAAGCACCGUGAGUAACACCUUUCAUGACAACUUGUUUGCUAUCAUCCGCAGACAUCACUGUACAAUUGCACAAGUCAGAUUCAAUUAACAGAAUCAAAGUCCUCAAAAGAGAGUCAUUGAGUAGGCUGCUUACUGAUAACCGGCAGGUCCAUCUCCAGCCCGACCUGCUCAAGGAGUUUGAAUCCAUCCAUAUCUGGCAUAUGAACAUCACUGAUAACAAUAUCGUACCCAUUCUUGUUCGUUCGAAGCAUAUCCAAAGCAAUCUCUGCUCGAUUGCAUUUUGUAACUGAAAACCCCACGUUAAGCUUAAUCAACAAUUCAUACAGUUACUUGAUCACACAACUUUAUCUACAGAAAGUACAGGCCCACAAAAUAACUCUCUUGAUCCACAUAUGAACAAAUCAAAUCACCGACUGAUUAACGAAACAAGCAGAACUUUCAAAGUAACUUUAAAAUUAGCUAACAUAGGAUGCUUGAAAACAGAGUAUAAUAGAUUUGAAAAAUAAGACCAAAUCUAAUAAAUUUCAUUUUAUUAUCACUUCUACAACAAACCAACAGGAAAGUCAUAUCAAACACUGAAGAAUCACAAAAGAAGAACAUUCAAAGUCAAACUACAUGCAAUAAAAAACCCCAAAUGAAGGGAAAAAAACAAUAUUCUAAGAACACAGAAAUGAAAUUACAAGACAUAACAAAAGCAGCUUGAAUAGUACCUUCAUAAAGACAAGUCCCAAGCAUCUUUUCCAAGAUCCUAAGACAAGUAGGAUCAUCAUCAACAACAAGGACACGUAAGCCAGCCGGAAACUGAUCGGAAACAGUAACACUUGAACUAGCCGUUGACAUGGAUCCUUUAUCGUUAUUGAGAUUCAUAUCUCAAAAACUUUGAUACCCAAAAACAAGCAAGAAGAAACAAAGUGAAACAAUAACUAAUAAAAGAAGAAUUUACAUGCUUCAAAGUUGAAACUUCAACCUGAUGAUGACAUGAAAAAGACAGUGAUAGAUAUUAAUACCCAGUUCGAAAUUCAAAGAACCCAGAUGAGAUACGCAAAGAAUUAUAGAGAUAGAAGAGAGAUUUGAGUUUAUUAUUAAGGAAAAAAAAUAUUUUUUUGAGAGAUUGAAGUUGAAGAAGACAUGGCCUUGUGUCAAAGCUUUGAAGCUGAAAUUGUUUUAGUGCAAAAUAAUUAUAUAAUGCUAAUAUUUUAGUGAAUAUAAUUGAUUGAAUAAAAAAAAAAAUUUAAAAGUGGGACAGUCCUGGAAGAGUGGAUCCAGCUCACACAUGAAGUUAACUAACUCCGCGCAUCUAAAUCUACUCCAAACAGCAAACACUCACAAGUCCAACAACGUUAAACUCUGUUUCAAGUUUUUACUUUUAACCGCUUUUCCCCAUACAAUAAUAAUAACAAGUCAAUGACAACAAAUUAGCAGGAUACAUGUACCUUGCUGCCACAAACGAACAAGCUCCAAGUGAUUGAGCUCGUCUCAUCUUUGUUUGUUUGUUUGCUUGGAACUAUUGUGUUUCCGCUUAAUUUUAAAAAUGUGAUGAUCAUGUAUUGUUCAUGUGUUUGACCUUUACUAUGGAAUAUCUAAAUUUAUUAAAGAUAUAUAUUGUAAUAACAAUAAUAUAUUUAUGUUUAAUUCAUAAAUUAUAAAUUUGAGUAUACUUCAUAGCGGUUAUGUUUAAGUCCGCGUGACUUGUUUGAUUUUAUUGUUUGUAAUUGUUAUGCUUUCGCUUGAAUUUAAGAAACCAUAAUAGUUUAGAAUGUAAAAAAAAUCAUUAAAGUAUUUUACUUGUAUUUAAGGAUGAUUUUAAGAAAUUUGUUGUUUAUAAUAGCACCAAAAAGUUAUUUCUAUACUUGUCCCAAAAAAAAAAAAUAGUUCUUUAUGUGUUUUAUGGUUGAAUUUGCUUUGUACAAUUUUUUAUUUUAUUUUAGUUAAAUGAAUUAAUUGAGACACAUGAUUGCAAUAUUAGGCUUGAGGGAUAAAGAACAUUAACUUUUCUUAGGAUAAUCACUUUUAGGGCAAAUGCAAUAUGGGGGGUUUAAAUGGGUUAUUACUUUUUUUUUGGGGGGGGGGAAUGAAAAUGAUUAAUCAUAAGGAGUUCUAGUGUGAGUCCACCUAAUUGAAGUCCUAAAUGCUAUUGACGUGUUUUGAUAGUUGCAUGUGUCAAAUUCUUUAUCAAAAUGUAAGCUACUUACCCAAAUUGACCUAAUAACGACACCUUAAAAAGCUUAAGUGGUAGCAACAUUAACAAUAAUUUCUUUUCAUUUCAAAGCUAAUGUUGCCAUGCCACCAACCACUUGCUUUGUGGGGUGGUUUCGUUUUCCACUUUCAAGUCCUAAGAUUGGUCACCCCCCACACUUUGAUCACAUAUUACUACUGCUUUUUUUCUUUUUUCUUUUUUGAAAAAAAAAACGCUUUCAAAAUUAUUAUUUUGAUUUUCAGAAAACAAAUCUAAAAAGGAGAACAACUAACGGCAGUUACGGAAUCCCGGUGAAAUAUGUGAGGCCCAACAAACGGAACUAAAGAAGGGGGGUUAUUAUUCCCGUUAAGCACUUCUUUUAAGGCCCCGUUUGGUUUGAUCUUUACAGUUCCAAGUAAAAAGUGCUUCUCUCAUCUCUGACCAAAAGCUUUAGUUUUUCACUGCCACCUCAUCUACCCACUUCCCCCAACCGACACGUGUCCUAUUCUCGCCGCAUCAACAGAUAAGGUCUCUUUGGCUUAUAUUGUUCCACAGUUUUUUUUUUUCCAAGUUUUUAAUUUCUCAGUCACCACCCCCUCCACGCUUUUUUGGCCUUUUUAUGUUGCACUUAUUUAUUUGUUUUUCUUUUUCUUCUUGUCUUGUGAGAUUGAUAAGUAAAUAUUCAUGUUCUUUUAAAAGGUCAAAAUUAUGACUCGGUCUCUAGCCCACCUAAAUUCACCUACCUUCUUCUUUAUCUACAAUAUUUCAGAAGAUGUUUUCAUCUCUUUACCUUCGAGAUGGAGGGUACAUAAAAAUACAGGUCGAAAAUAGAUAUUUUAGUAUGCUCGAUUGCAUGAAUUUCGACCUUGGAUAGACCCACGUUGAAAUUUCAAUUCUAAAAACAUAUAUAUUUUAAGUUAUGUUUAUUGAUUAUAUGAUUUAGUCUCUCAAUAAAUCUUGAUUAAAAGAAUUAAGAAUAUGAAAAAAUAUCGUUCUCGAAUUUGCUCUCAAAUGUUUUGACUAAAUAAAUGAAUUCAUUAAAAGAAUUAAACCACCCCCAAAUGAUAAAGCUGCUUGUUGUGCUCAUUUCACGUGAUUUUCUAACUUAAGAAAAAAAUGAUGAACUUCUUUGACGAAACUUGCUUUAUGCAAUUAAGAAAUCAACCGGGAAAGAUUCUAAAUGAUUAAACAAGAUUUAAUUAUAAUGAAUGAAUCUCAAUUUACAAACCUCCCCGUCCCAUUUGCUUCAGAGACAUAUCGAUUAAACAAUUGAUUUUGUUUGCUUUUUCCCACAGCAAGGAAAAGCAGCGACACACAGUACGUAGCUAAUUAAAGUAGAAGAAUUCUGAAAAAACGUAUAUUCCCUGUAAACCUUUUCUCUCUUACGAUGAAUUAUGCACACCACACUUUCGACUAUUCACCUCCAAAAUGUGUAGCUUUUUAGGGUUUUAAUUCUAGAGCUCCAUGUCCAAGAAAAAACCCCAGCGAUAAAAACAAACUGUCACUUGCAUGCAGGUAAUAUUUUGCAAGCAACUUUAUAUAUAUAUAUAUAUAUAUAUAUAUAUCUUAUUUUCCCAAUAGAUUUAAAUCUUUAAAGUUGGAUGAUUUAAAGAAUAAUUGUUUAUUGUUUUCUUCUUGUUCUGGGUUUAGCUUUUCAUGGGGGGAGGAGAUGCUUUUAAGAAAAAUCGAAUAUGUGUAACCGCGAGCAUUAUUUCACGCGCGCCAUUAAACUAUCAUUUGCUUUGGUGGGUUUUGCUUGCCACGUGGCAUCUCAUGGAAGUUGGAGAAAAGAGUCCAUCUAGCUUUUUCAUUCACUCACUCAUAACUUUAUAUAUAUAUAUAUAUAUAUAUAUAUAUUUCUUCACUUUUUGUGUUUUGCUUGUGCCCCCCUCUCUCGAACCAUGAGUGGAGACGUGGAGUGUGCCAUUUAAAAUUGUAUAAAUUUUUUUUUUUUACUUUAUUUAUUGCAAUUUUGAAUUCCUCUUUAUAUCAUCAUGAGUUAAUUUUGGAUUAAUCACCUCAAAAAUGAUAAUUUUUAAAAUAUUCCUAAUUAUUAUAAACAUCAAUUUAUUUUUUGUUAAGUAGAUAAAAUAAAAUAAAAUUUCAUCAAUCUACCCUUAUUUUUCUCUUAUCUUUUAAAUGAAAAUAAGAUAACUUGAUAUUAUGAUAUUUACUUGAGGAGUAUUUCAAAAAUUAUUAUUUUAUGAAAGGAGUAAUCCAAAAAUUUAUCCUGUUAUUAUUUUAUUGCAUUGUCAUGUCUAUCCACAGAAAACGGAUACAGGCACAUAAAAUAAUAUAUAAACAAAUUUUCAUUUUUAUGAGUUUGAAUUUUGAACCUCACACCGCACGUUGCCUUUAACCAUAAGAACUUAUUUUACAAAUCCAUAAUUGUAAGAAAGAAUACGACCCUUAUCGCUAAAUUUAGUAUAUAAAAUAGGUAUUCAACUUUUGGUAAUUAAAGACAUAAAUGGGACAUUUUAUCACCAAAACCAUGUUCAUUAUAUGUGAGUUCUCACGUGGAACCAUCCUAAAGAUAACGAAAACAAGAAAUUGUCAAAAAAGCUUUGCCAAUAAGCUCGGUGUGUUCAUUUUAAUAUCUCAUUUAUUUUAACUUUUUGUUUGCUAGUGCAAAAUAAAAGGUAAUGGUAUCAAACCAUCAAUUAUUCAAUUACAUCAUAUCACUAAACUUUUAAUUGGGUAAUAACAUUAAUCUCCCUAAGUUUUUUUUUUUUUUAAAGUAAAGAUAUUGUUAGUCCAUUGGUAUCAAAUCAAUAUGUACCACCCUCUGAAAUAGUAUAUUAAUAGGUCCAUAAUCGACAUUGAGAUAAAUUUAUGGUCGGUCAAUUGAUGUAAGUAUUUUGAUAAAUCCUUGAAAUCCUAUUGACAAAAUAAAAAAUAAAAAAGAAGAAGCACCAAGAUAUCUUUAAAUAAUAUCUCAGACCAAUGUAUAAAAAUAAGUUUGAAAUUACCUAUCUACAAAUAUUCCUAAAUUCUUUCAAAUGAUUGUUUAUCACUAAUACCAACUGGUACAAUAACUUGAAAGCCAUAGUCCAGGAACAAAACAUAUCUUAAUAAACCAAAAAGAAAGAAAAAAGAAGAAGAAAUUCAUAUCUAAUGCAUAGCAAAAUUUAAGUAGAAGAAAGAAAUAUAUAUUUUACUCCAAUAUAAGAAGUUGUGUGAAAUAGGCCGAAAAAGUUUGUAAGUAAGAGAGAGAUGUCUCUUUAGUAAAAAAUGAAUCGAAAUAAAUUUUUAUAGAAGUAACUAGUAGAAAAAAAAAAUUCGGGAAGGAUCUAAGAGACUUAAAUAGUUGAAAUGCUCUUUCUAGUUACGUUACACAAUAGACAACUAAAAGUCUAAAAUGGGUAAAGUUCAGCCUCAUAAGGAUAAUGUGAUCAUUUAAAUUUUAAAAAGAAAUCAGAGUUGUCGAUACAUUGGAUAAAAUUAGACAAGUUAUGUCCUUGAUUAAUAUAUCUUAAAACCUUAGGGAUCAAAAUGUUAAUUUUCUAUCCCAAAAUUCACAAUUUUCCACUACAAAAGAUCCAGCUCCAGUUCAACACGAGAAGAGGGCCCCACAGACGAGAAAGUAGGACCCACGGGCCAGUUUUCAGUAAAUCCACAUCAGCAAACUGUAAAGGAGCAACAGACGUGACGUGUUGGAUGAUCUACGAGCGCAAAGAUCGGACGGACACGUGGUAGUAUCUGGUUGAGAUAGAAAGAAGGAGACCGGACCCAUGAAACUGAAGCAAAUAAAAAACGAAUGAACAAAUAGAAGUGUGGGGCCGACUCGGAAAAGGCUAAAUAAGUGGGGCCCAAUCGUCAGAUGGAGACAUUGAGUCGAAAUAAGGCGGGGGGCCACUCGUGGCGUACGUGCGCCUCUCAUACACAUCACCAUCGCCAUAAAACAAAAAUUGAAAAAUAAAUAAUUGAGAGGAUGAAGAAGAAAGCUCAAGUGAGAAAGAAAAGUAGGUGGCUUUAGUAGGUUGAAUCCAAGGCACAUUAUUUAUUAUCUCCCGACUUUUUUUUUUUUUCUCGAAUGAAUUUUCUAGUAUAUUUUGUUCAUAAAAGUACUUGCAUAUGACUUGAUUCGACACGUAACUAUUUUUUUAAUUUUUUCUUUUGAAUUUUACUCACAUCAUACAUUGAUCAAAAUCUAAUAUUCAUGAUAUGAUAUGAGAUUAAAUGAAAUAAUAUCUGAAACUUCUGUUAUAAAUAUGAAAUUAAGAGUACGGACGUUGUUCUCCAAAAUCCUAAAUUUGCUCCUCCAUGGUGCAUCCGUAAUAGAUGGAUUAAUUGUUAUAGCUUGAUUAAAACUAUAGUUUUUAGAUGCUCUCAUAUUUUUCGAGAAGGAAAUUCUGUACCUUAUUGCUUGGCUAACUUGGGUUUAUCUUGUUCCAUGUAUACUUGAUGGGAUGAACCACCAAUGGUUAUUAGGAAAAAGUUAUUUGACGAUGCUUGGGGCUAUCCUAAGUAUCGUUUCAUAACUUAAUCUCUUGUUCAUGAGAAUUUUGUAUAUCUUCUUUUUUUUUUAAUUUUUAAAUAUAUUUUCAGAUUUAUAUAAAAAAAGAGUACAGAUGUUGUUGUAUGCUACAAAUUAAUUAAUUAAUUCAUAAUUUUAAUUACAUAUUUUUUGAGGCAUCGCUGUAUUACAUAUGCGUGUUUAGUUAAUUUAUAAUUUCAAGUCAAGUACACAUUUUUGCAACGACACAGUAAUGAAUAUGUGCAUGUGUGUAUACAGUUUAAGCAAGGGACCUUUUUCUUAUAUAGUAAUUGCAAUUUAGAAUGCAUUUAAAAUUGAUGUUAGACAGCUGUAACUUAAAAGUUACAGUACUAAAGUAUUUAGUAAAUACUAACUGCUGUAAUUUAAAAGUUAUGUUGAUAUAAUUUUUUACUUAUUUCAUGAAAAUUUAUUAUAUCUUUAAUAAUCUUGUCAAAAUUAUUAUUUAAAGUUUAUAUUUAUUACAAAUUAUUCAUUUUUGUUCUAUAAUUAUAAUUUUUUUUUCACAGCAGAUAUAUGUUAAAAGUUAUAAUACUUCAAUUCUAAACGGGAUUUUAAUUUAUCUUAUCCAGCAAAGUAGGUAAGUUUGCUAGUUAUGCAAGGGGCAAAGGGAAGUUCUUCGGUCUCUCUCGAAAGCAAUCAAGCGUGAGAAGCAGGAUCUAUCCAUAGCUUUUGUUUUAGCACUUUCCCUUAAUCGGUUCCUCCUUCUCUCUCUCUCUCUCUCUCUCCGGAUUCUCGCAGCUACACGUUCUUGAGACGUCACAGUAAUGCACAUGUGGGUGUGUGUAUGUAUAUGUACAUGUCUGCAUAUGUGUGUGUGUAUAAAAUUAUGAAAGUAAUGCACCAGAUAGUGCUAUGUAAUUGUUGGAUACAGAAGCUAAGGUAUGAGUUCAUGUAGACAAGACAAAUUCAAAGCUAAAAUUGCUUGGAGGAACGGUGGUGGUUCGCUCAUUUUAACCCGUAAAUGGAUAGGGGUAGCAUCAGCAGUAGCAAUAAUGUAAGGGGAAGAUAAAUUGAGCACGUGGCAUUAGAAGUUAUGCUCCCCGACAUCCAACUCUCAUAUCAUGUUCAAAAUUUUCAAUCAGAAUUAUUGAAGUGAUGAGCCUCGGCUUUGAAGGACCCGUCUGUCAAUUUUUUUUUUUAAAGAGGGGGGUUACCCUUACCCUAUGUUGUACUAGCACCACUACCCAGUUGGAAUUAGAUCCACAUCUCCUUAAUUUUGGGCACCCUCUGCCAGGCUUGCAAGUCACCUUCUCCAGCCAAUUUGGUUGUCAUGAUAAGCUGAAAGUUAGAAUCACUCAUCAUUUUGAAAAGAAGCUGAAAACACUUUUCCACAACAACUUUAAUUACAGAAUUAAUGGUACGCUUGAAUUUUACAGGAGUCCAAUCAUUGUCUUUAAGAAAUAAGAACUUAGAAAUCUGUUUUUAAUAUCGUAUAGAGACGAGGUCUAUUACACACACUUGUAAAUAAACUAAUUUGAGUGACGCGUCAGGAGUCAUUAUUUUUUUCCAAUUAAUUUUCACAUUCUGAGAUACACACAAAUUGACGGUAAUUAAACAGACCCUAGGACUCGAAGAACUCUAGUUUCAUCUCAGAUAUUUCGUCUCGCAGCCAGUUAUAUAUAUAUAUACAUAUAUUACACAUGUUAAUUAUUACUUAUAUUUCUGCGUGCUUUGGGAUAAAAUCCGCCAGCUUUGCUGAUGUUUUCGAAUCUGCAUACCGAGAUCAUAGAAAAAGGGUCCUGAAUAUGCUGUUAGAUUUAUGUAAUUAAUGCUGCAGUAACAUACAGGCUGCAAACCGCUGAUGCCACAUAAACCUGGGCAUUUUUCUUUUUUUUAUCCCUCAAGUUGGCAACUUGGAACCAUGCGAAAAAAAUGGGAUCGAUGCCAUAUUCAUGUGCCCAAGCAUUUAAUCUAAUUGUUCAAUGUUUAUGUAUUCACAUGACAUGUCUCAAGUGUGCCAAAUGCUGAUGAUUUAUGAUCAAUAUUUUGAAACCACUACUUUGUUUUCAUUUCAGUUUGGCAUCUGAAUUUUACAAAACCCGUGGGCUGCUUUGUUGCGUACAAAUAUGGCAUUAACAUAGAAUAUAUAAAAGCUGGCUGGUACGUUUCUUUUAGACGGAAUUAGGUGCAUGUUCAAAACGAUGCACUCGGUCUUGUAACACAGCUUGGCUGGAAGGAAAAUUUGUUGACAAAAGAAACUAUUUUCCAAAUUAAAAAUCAUGCUAGUGGAGCUGCAGUUCCUUUUUCUUGUAUCUCAAUGCACGGUAGGCAAAAAUGGGAUCUCCUUGCUUUUCGCAAUAAUGUUCAAAUUUAGUUCAAGUUAGCCACAAAAAGUGAGGCAGCAUAGCUGGUGCACGACAAGAAACCAUUAAAUUAAUAGCAAAACGGUGACCAAAAGUGACAUCAGAUUUCAACCCUAUUCUCUUAAUGAUGGGGGAGGGGGGAGGGGGGGGGGGGGGGGAUUGCAAAAUUAAAUUUUGUUUCUAGUCACCAGAGUUCACCAUCAUGUAUUCAUGUGGACUAACUCAUAUAUGCUUUAAUUUAUAACCAAUAACAUGAAAUUUGUGCGGAUUAUAGAAAAUGUCUACAGCACACAGUUGUCUGAUAGAGUGUUCCCCCCUCCUACUUAUUGUUAUCAAUCUAAAAAUUGUAAGUUUUCUUUGUUGACCCUUAAAUUUUUGUUUUUGUCUCUCAACUUAUAAUUAAUAUAUAUUAGUAAACGGUUGUAAUGUUUUGGAAAUGAUAGUAUUGGAAAACUUGGAAGUGUCUACGAUCAAAACGAAUGCUGCAUUAGACAAAAGUAUUAAAAUGACACAAGAGUCGUCGUAGCAGUUGGCACUAGCCAAGAGGCAGCAGGUUUUAGGAUCAAAGAAAAAUUGAAUUCUCGGACCUGUCUAUGGUACAGAUUCUGUAACAAACAUCUCCCGUCAUCCCACCAUCCGAUUGUCUAUUGUUUAGUUUCUCACUCCACAUCCAACCACAUCCAACGGCUGAUGCUGCUGUCUGUAGCUUACAGAUUCUGUAAGCUAGUCAAGUCCUUGAAAUCUCUACUUUCUCUUACCAUCCCUGUUGUUGGGCCAGUAAUUUGUUGGCAGUGAGUUUUGGUAUGUUUGUUGCGGCGACAGCGUCUGCUUGUCGGGCCAUUAUUGGCUUGGAUAGCAAAAGUCAACAUCCAUCAUUGGAUGGGUGGUGCUGCCGCAUCCUCGUUAUUUGUGAAGGCCGAAAAACGCCACAUGAGCUAGGGAGGGGCCUCGGACGAAAGUACAAACACAACUAGCACAUGAUAAUAUGAGUGUUUUUGCAAAUGGGCUCAACCCAAUUGAAAGGAAGUUACAGCCUCAAUUGCGCAUGACUCGCAGGAUUUGGGGUCUCAUUUUUUGCACGAUCCGCAAAGUUUCACAUCACCAACCGUUUUUAACGACCUCGUUCCCCUCUUCGCAUUCUCAACACAAGUGCUUUGAUCUCGUGCAACUUAUUUGUUUUGGUUACUGCCAGUACUUUAUGAGCUCGAAUGAUGAUGAGAGCUAUGUGGCAUUCAAUUUUGCAAGUACCCACCACCACCAGUCACCAGAUGCAGAAUCCAUUCAUUGUCUUUCCUUGGAUCAACUUUCGUAGGCAGAUUGACAGAAAGCUUGUUCACUUCAAGAAGCACUUUUCGGUUGCUUCCAUCAAAUGGAUUUGAGGCUUCUCAUGCACAUGCAUUGCAUGCAAGGUGGAUCUCGCGUCCGAUAGCAGCAAGAAUCGGGCAAAGAUCUUGUGACUUUAAGGGAAGUGAACCAAGCAAUCUUAGGCAUGAAUUCUUGGACACAACUGUGGAACAGAACACUAAAAAUAAUAAUUCAGUGGCACGUAAUUUUGCGAGCAUUUGGCACUCGGAUGCUGAGCCAAUAAUUCUGGAGAUGGGAAAUUCCAAGUUUCUUGUAAGAUUGUUUGGUUUGGACACUAAAACCACUUGAUUUUUCAGAGAUGGUGAGCGGAUUAUUGAAUUUGCAAUCCGAGACCUUUCAUGGGGGAAGAAUAGCUGUUUUCAAACCCUAGUGAAUCCCGAAAGACAUGUUCCGAAUUCGCAUAUUCAUGGCAUCACGACCAAAAUGGUUAAUCGAUCAAGGUGAUGUGAUUUUUGGUUUUUAUCUCAUAUAUCUUGUGAAAGAAUCGGUAACGCUCAAAUGUAAGGCUGGUAAGUAGUUGUAAUUUUGAUUACUGACAUCUAAAAAACUCAUCCUAAAGAUGCAUGUCAAAUUAAGUGACAUAUAUGAUGGGAGGAUAGAAUUAAUAUGUGGAGAAUUGAAAAUCAAUAAUGCUAGGCACUUUACAUUCCGAGAAUAAAUUCAUUAAAGGAAAUUCAUUGUCCUCAGUUAGGUUUUUCCCCUUCCUCUUACACCCCAAAAUUUACCUAAAACAAGGUCAAUACGGUAAGUGCAAAAACAUGAGGUACUAUGAGAGUUUUGGAAUUGCUAUCAGCUCCACUCUUUUGACUCAAGGUCGAAAUUUUAGUUAAUAUCUAAAAUUUGAAGUGAAGGGUUAAACAUUUAAUAAUCAACAGUCAACUCCUCAACAAGAUUUAUUUGAAUGAAUAGAAAUAAACGUAAUAUUGAUAAAUAGAGUAUAGCUUUAAAUCGGUGGGGCCCAAACUUCAGAUGGAGACAUUGAGUCGAAUACGUAUGCCUCUCAUACGCAUCGCCAUCACCAUAAAACAGAAAAAAAUGAAAAAUAAAUAAUUGAGAGGAUGAAGAAGAAAGCUCAAGUGAGAAAGAAAAGUAGGUGGCUCGGUUGAAUCCAAAGCACAUUAUUUAUUAUCUCCGAUUUUUUUUCUUUAGUUUUAAAUGAAAUUUCUAGCAUAUUUUGUUCAUAAAAGUACUUGCAUAUCACUUGAUUGGAAACGUAACUCUUUUUUAAUUUUUUUUCCUUUAUUUUUUACUAACAUCAUAAACAUAACGUCAUGAAAUGAUCAAAAUCUAAUACUCAUGAUAUGAUAUGAGAUUAAAUAAAGUAAUAUCUGAAACUUCUAUUAUAAAAAUAAUGAGAUUAAGAGUAACGGUGUGUUGUUGUAGGUUACAAAUAAACUAAUUAAUUCAUAAUUUCAAUUACACAUUUUUGAAGCAUCAGAGUAUUACUUAUGUGUGUUUAGUUAAUUUAUAAUUGUAACUACACAUUUUUGUGAUAUAUAUAUAUAAAUUGAAGUACUGAAGCUCUAGUAUGAGUGUAUGCAGACAAGACAAAUUCAAAGCUAAAAUUGCUUGGGUGAAUGUUAGUGGUUCGCUCAUUUUAAUCCAUAUAUGGAUAGAGGAACAUCAGUGGUAGCAAUAAUGUAAGGGGAGAUAAACCUGAGCACGUGGCAUUAGAAGCUAUGCUCCCCGACGUCCAACUCUCAAAUCGUGUUCAAAAUUUUCAAUCGGAACUAUUGAAGUGAUGAGUCUCGGCUUUGAACUACCUGUCUGUCAAUCGGGCACUACCACCUAGUUGGAACCGACAGAUGAGUCCUGGUGCUGUGACACUCCACUUAUGUUGUGUUUACUUGCUGGAGUGAGAGUGAGGAGUGUGGAUUCCUCCCACUCCAGCGUUUACUUACUUAAAAUGGGGAGGGAUUGGGAGUCCCACUCCGUGGGCCCCACCCAUUUUUGGAGUGGAGAGUGGGAGUGAGACUCCCAUUCGGGGAGGUGGGAGUGGGAAUCCACUCCCACCUCUCCCAUUUCUACCUUUUUUUUUUAUUUUAUGUUUUAUAAUUAAUAAAAUAAAAUAAAUAAUAUUAUAUUUAUUUAAAUAAUAAUAUUAUAUUUAACUAAAUAAUAAUUUACAUUGAUUCUAAGUUUAAAUUAUUUUAAAAUAAUAUUAUUAUAUUAAUAGAGAAUUAAUAAAUAUAAUAUUAUUAUAUUUAUUUUAAAAAUAAUAGUACUAUAUUUAUUUAAUAAUAAUAAUAAAUACUUUAUUCUAAGAAAAUAUUAAUUUUGUACUAAAUAAUAUUAUAUUAUUAUUUUAUAUAAUAAUAAAUUUAAUAUAAUUAUAUUAAAUAAAAUAAAAUAACAUUUCAUUUUAUAUUAAAAUUACAAUUAAUAAUUUAUUGUUCAUAAUUAAGAAUAUUAAUAAUUAUAAUAAAUUUACAAAUAUAAUAAAAUAAAUAUUAUUCAUUAAAUAUAUUUUUUAUUAGUUUUGUAAUUAAAAAUUAUAAUUCUUUAAAUAAGGAUAAAAUUGUAAUUUGAAAUUAUUUACUCCCAAUCCAAGACAAAGUAAACACAUAAAUUUGAUUCUGAUCUCCAUUCCAUGCUUCCAUUCCAGUGUAAGUAAACAACCUACUCCCACUCCCACUCCACACUCCCAAUCCUAGGAUUACCACUCCCUAGGAUUCCCAAUCCAAUCCAAAAAGUAAACGCUACCUUAGUCCUCUAAGAUACAGACCGACGGACGAGUCCUGGUGUGGUGACACUCCACUUAGGCUCCGUUUGGUACAGCUUAUUAAAUAGAGCUUAUAACAGUAGAGCUUAUAGCAGUAGAGCUUAUACCAAUAGAGCUUUCGGACAAAAAGUCAUUGGGUGUUUGGUUGUCAAUAAAAAACGCACUUUUGAACCAUUAAACUAUGUGAUAUUUUUUAUAUUAUAUAUUUUUAGAAAAGCUUUAUAACCUCUACUCCCAAAAGCUCAAAUUUUGGGCUUUUGCUAGUAGAGGUAAAUUAGCUUAUUUAAACUAAAAAAACUUUACUAAAAAAAUAACCAAACACUAUAAAAAAUUUUAAAAAGUGCUUAUACGAUUAAAUAAGCACUUAUGGUUCUUAAAUAAGCCAUACCAAACAGGCACUUAGUCUUAUAAGAUACAGACGAUAUUUCUGCACCACACAGUUGAAUAGUUAGAAUAUCCGAAGAUGAAGAAUAAUUCAGUUACAUAACCAUUCUAUUGUGCAUGCAAGUUAAUAAAGAAAUAAAAGUUUCAAAUUUCUAUAUCCUGCAGAAUUUUCUAAGUUCAAGAGUUUUAUACAGUACCUGAAGGUGGCUGGCAACAUUUUCUCUAGUAAGUCCAGGAACAUUCAUCAACUCCAGAAUUUUCUUAGGAACAGCCUCUGUAGUAUACAUCAAUGCAAAAGCAUAAGUAUGAAAUACUGCAGCAGGAAUUGGAAAUGUAAAAGUGAUAUUUUGAGAGCUGCCAUACACGAAAUUAUAUCCUGAUAAUAAAUGAAAGCAAGGACAACUUCAAAGCCCAACAUAAAUAAAUUUAAUGCCGUUCUCAGUCGGGAUUAAGAUGGAGGAGACAAGAACACAGCAUGUGGUGUACUUUUAUAGAAAGAUAAGGUCCUAAGACUCUUACUGUCAAUGCCUAGCCAGAUAACGGCAGACACAAACUGUUGAUGGAGCUCAACUGACCAAAAAACGCGCGGCUUCUUUAAAGUGGAUGUAUCAUCCCUCUUUUCCGCUUCUUCUUCCUCAUCUUUCCUCCUGUUUGAGGUUCUCCAAUUUCCUUGAUUUACUGAGUAAGAGUCAUCCGAUUCUUCAAAUGGUUUUGGUUGCUGAGCCACAUGCUGCCAUAUGUUCCUCAGUUCCUUAAUUCGUAUUGGCUUAAGUAAAUAAUUACAAGCACCGUGAGUGACACCUUUCAUGACAUCUUGCGUGCAACCAUCCACAGACAUCACUGUACAAUUGCACAAGUCAGAUUCAAUUAACAGAAUCAAAGUCCUCAAAAGAGAGUCAUUGAGUAGGCUGCUUACUGAUAACCGGCAGGUCCAUCUCCAGCCCGACCUGCUCAUGGAGUUUGAAUCCAUCCAUAUCUGGCAUAUGAACAUCACUGAUAACAAUAUCAUACCCAUUCUUGCUCAUUCGAAGCAUAUCCAAAGCAAUCUCUGCUCGAUUGCAUUUUGUAACUGAAAACCCCAUGUUAAGCUUAAUCAACAAUUCAUACAGUUACUUGAUUACACAACUUUAUCUACAGAAAGUACAGGCCUACAAAAUAACUCUCUUAAUCCACAUAUGAACAAAUCAAAUCACCGACUGAUUUCCGAAACUAGCAGAAACUUUCAAAGUAACUUUAAAAUUAGCUAACAAAGGACACUUCAAAACAGAAUAUAGUAGAUUUGAAAAAUAAGACCGAAUCUGAUAAAUUUCAUUCUAUUCUCAUUUGACAGCAAACCAACAGCAAAAUCAUAUCAAGCACUGAAGAAACACAAAAGAAGAACAUUCAAAGUCAACUACAUGCAGCCACUAAGCUUUAGCCCAGUGGUUAGAACACAAGCCUCACAAUUGUGAGGUUCGAGCUCGCACAAUGCAUUGUGCGGAUUCAUUUUUUUUUAUUAUUUAAGUGAAGGCAGCCCUGUCCUUUUUGAAAUAUAAUUAGAGUAGACAUAUCUCGAAUAUGAGUUAACAUUUAAACUGUGCUAUAUAUGAUUUAUAAAUUAAUUCCAAUAAUUAUUUUAUUGUAAAUAUCAUUAUACUAAUCUCAUUAAAUAUGAGUUAAAACUUAAACAUUAGUCCCAUGUAAUUUUUAAAAAAAAAAGUCAACUACAUACAAUAAAAAACCCCAAAUGAUGGGAAAAAAAUAUUCCAAGAACACAGAAAUGAAAUUACAAGACAUAACGAAAGAAGCUUGAAUAGAACCUUCAUAAAGACAUUUCCUAAGCAUCUUUUCCAAUAUCCGAAGCCAAAUAGGAUCAUCAUCAACAACAAGGACACGUAAGCCAGCCGGAAACUGAUCGGAAACAGCAACACUCGAACUAGCCGGUGACAUGGAUCCUUUUUCAGCAAGAAGACACAGAAUGAAACAAUAACUAAUAAAAGAAGAUUUUACAUGCUUCAAAGUUGAAACUUCAACCCGAUGAUUACAUGAAAAAGAUAGUGAUAGAUAUUAAUACCCAGUUCGAAAUUCAAAGAACCCAGAUGAGAUACGCAAAGAAUUAGAGAGAUAGAAGAGAGAUUUGAGUUAAAUAUUAAGAAGAAAAAAUAUUUUUUAAAGAGAUUGAAGUUGAAGAAGACAUGGCUUUGUGUCAAAGCUUGAAGCUGAAUUUGUUUUGGUGAAAAAAAUUAUAAUUGUUUGAAUAAAAAUUUUUGGAAGUGGGACAGUCCUGGAAGAGUGGAUCCAGCUCACACAUGAAUAAACAACUCCGCGCAUCUAACUCUACUCCAACAGCAAACACUCACAAGUCCGACAACGUGAAACUCUGUUCCAAGUUUUACUGUUUUUACUUUAACCGUUUGCUUUUCCCCAUACAAUAAUAAUAAGAAGGUAAUGACAACAAAUUAACAGGAUACUUGUACCUUGCUGCCACAAACAAACAAGCUCCAAGUGAUGGACCUCGUCUCAUCUUUGUUUGUUUGGAACUAUUGUGUUUCUGCUUAAUUUUAAAAAUGCCAUAAUUAUAUAUUGUUCAUGUGUUUGACCUUACGAUUGAAUAAACAAACACAAAAUGAAGAGGGGUAUCCAGGAACACCUUCUAACCUUAUAUGGCCUAUGCUAAGAAGCCGAUAAAGGGCUUUCAUCAGUUAGCCCAGCUUUCUCCAAUCUGUUCAGACUCAACACAUCAUUUUUCCUCUAUAAAGCCCCAUCAACUCUCUAAGUUAAAUAUCUCUCUCAAGUAAUUCAUACCACAACACCCCAAGGCUGGUAAGCACUCUCUACUUUGGCAAGGACAAGUGCUCAGGAGCGAUUUGAAGAAACUAAACAUCUUCCUAUAAAAGAACCAGAGGGAUAGACAGAGUCCCAGAUCAACAUGAAGGGCUAUCCCAUUUGUCUUAAGACGCUCUGAUAUUUCAUUCUUGUAGGGUACCUGAAGGUCAACCAAAUAAGGAAUGCAAUAUUUAACCCUCAUAUGCACUUAGUCUCGUAAAGUAAUUCUCUGGCCAACCUGAGAGUAAGAUUUGUUGGACUUGGAAGCGAAAAGUGAGGCAACAGUUUUUGGACGCGCUAACCAAUGUGGUCAGCCUAGAAAAAGCUGAGCGAGGUACUCUUUUUUUACUCAAUUAUCUGUGAAGGUGGGACAAAUAUCGCCACGUGUUAUUCACCAUUCUUUUAAGAAUUUCUUUUGCCUUAAAUACUUUUUGAACUAAGGGAUGUUGUUUGGGAAAUUUAUAAAAAUAAUUAUUAAAUUUUUAUUAUUUUCAUAAUUAAUUCUCUUAAUUUUUUUCUAUCAACAUUAGUUAAAUACAUAUUUUUCUCCCUAAAUUACCCUUCUUUACAAGCUAAAAAUAACUUUCUUUCUCACCUUUCGUCAAACCAAAAGUAGCUUCCCACUCUUGAAUCAUCAACCAACGGCAACGAUAAAAAGUGAAAUCCGAUCAUAAUUUAUCCGGAUCUAACAAUAAUCAGCAUCACAUAGUGGUAUGAGUUAUUUUCUGAACUUGCUCGUCAGUUUGACUGAACUGUGGAUGGUUUCGUGGGUGAAUAUGGCGACAGGCAGCCUGUCGCACCAAGUUUCGUGCGACAGUCAGCCUGUCGCAUGAAAAGCUAGAUUCAUUGUAAUUAAUUAUUAAUUUGAUUGGGCUGAAAUAAUUUAUUUUUUUUUAUAAUUUCAGGCUUAAUGGAUUCAGUUGUACUUGAAUUAUGUUACGAUGGUUGGUGGGAGACAUUAGAGGAUGGGUGUAUGGAGUAUGUCAAUGGUAAAAAUAAAGCUUUUUAUCGUUGCCUUUUGCUGUUGCCGUUGGUUGAUGAUUCAAGAGUGGGAAGCUGCCUUUGGUUUGACGAAAUGGGAGAAAGAAAGUUGCUUUUGGCUUGUAAAGAAGGGUAAUUUGGAGAGAAAAAUGUGUGUUUGGCUAAUGUUGAUAGAAAAAAAUUGAGAGGAUUAAUUGUGAAAAUAACAAAAAUUUGAUGGUCAUUUUUGUAAAUUUCCCAUGUUGUUUAGGGAAUAAAUGGAAUAUCGAAAAUGAAGUACCACGUGUCGAUGUGAAGGUUUUAUGAUUAUAAAUAGUUUUUGUAGGGUACCUGACUUAUACCAUAUAUACUUACUAAUUGAGGUAAUACGCGAGGUACACUAUGAAAGAAUUAAGGUAUUUUAGAAAACAUCCAAAAAUAUCUACCACGUGUACUAUCUCUAUUCCUAAAGAAGAAUAUUUAAUUUGACAAAAUCAAGAAAUAUCUUGUUGGAAAAGAAAGGACAGCUGGCUGUCAUACCUGCAAAAAGUCAAAAGUAACAUGCAAAAGAUAAUGGUCCUUCAUUGUCACGCCUGCAAUUGUCACUUCUGCAAAGGCGCCAUAGAUCACCUGCAAUGUAGCAUACGCCACGCACACAAAACGACAAAACCUAUCAAAAAAUCACAUUUUUGCUCUUUAAGCAUGCUCCUAACAGCCCAAAAAUCAUCAUGAAGGUAUAAGGACAUGAGAAUUUCUAAAAGGACAGAAGAAUCACCACUAAAAAUAUGUCACAUGGCAAGGUAUCAAGGGUGUACUGUGUAAAGGCAAUAAAAAUUUAUCUUUCUAAUACUAAUCACAAACACACACAAAAAAGCGGGCUGAGGUCUUCUUUAACCUCCAACUGCUAUUUUCUGCUAUUUUAGAGAGUUUGUAAGCUUUUAUCACCUAAAAAAGUUUAAAAAACUGACUUGAGUAUCAAAGUAUAGUCAUCGGCCAUUGCGGCUCUACCUCUAUCCUUAUUUUGUUAUUUUACAGGUCUACAAGCACUUUUUCAAAGUAACUGAAAACCCCAUGUUAAGCUUAAUCAACAAUUCAUACGGUUACUUGAGUACACAACUUUAAAUCUACAGAAAGUACAGGCCUACAAAAUAACUCUCUUGAUCCACAUAUGAACAAAUCAAAUCACCGACUGAUUACCGAAACAAGCGUAAACUUUCAAAGUAACUUUAAAAUUAGCUAACAUAGGAUACUUGAAAACAUAAUAUAAUAGAUUUGAAAAAUAAGACUAAAUCUGGUAAAUUUCAUUUUAUUCUCAUUUCCACUGCAAACCAACAGCAAAAUCAUAUCAAGCACUGAAGAAACACAAAAGAAGAACAUUCAAAGUCAACUACAUGCAGUAAAACACCCCAAAUGGAUGGGAAAAAAAAAUAUACAAAGAACACAGAAAUGAAAUUAUAAGGCAUAAGACAAGAAGCUUGAAUAGCGGUUGAGCCAUUUGCAUGAGUAAAUGGCUACUCUGGCCACUUGGGUUUCCAUGGGCACUGGCUUGCAUGCUCAAGCUGCGAAGGGAUUGAGCAGAAUGGUGCAAAUUGAGAAGUUGUUUCGAAUCCAUGGUUGUUGGAAUUCCAUGUAGUAAGUUCAUUUGUUUGCCACUGCUCAUAUGUUGUGGUUGCCCUUCUCCAAAUCUUAACUUCUGAUUAUCAAAGCUAAAAAUGUUCCUUUGAUCAACAAGAGGCAUUGGUAACCCAGGCUUUGCAGCUGACCUUGCAAGUCCUGCUGCUUGAAGUGUGGCGAGACUUUGAGCUGGAAUUUGACCAGUGGCAGCAAGAGUUUGAAAGUCAAGCCCACUAAGCGAAGACAGAGAACCAUAAGGUGGUUCUUGGGAAUGGGAACUGAUAAAUGAAUUGCCCUGGUGCGGUGACACUCCACUUAGUCUUGUAAGAUACAGACGAUAUUUCUGCACCACACAGUUGAAUAGUUAGAAUAUCCGAAGAAGAAGAAUAAUUCAGGAACAUAACCAUUCUAUUGUGCAUGCAACUUAAUAAAGAAAUAAAAGUUUCAAAUUUCUAUAUCCUGCAGAAUUUUCUA
rnacentral:lncRNA from 1 species